rnacentral:misc_RNA from 1 species
AAUCAAAUACCAAUGACGGAAAGGCGAACUUGUGAGAGAGUUAACUGCUCAUUAGGGAAAAAGAAUACAUCAAUCGCACGUGAAAACUACAGUUCGUCAAACAACAGCCUGGAAUUGCCAGUUUGGAUCCAGAGAAUUGAAUUCAUCGUUUUGGCAGUGGUAUCGGUGAUAUUUCUGAUGACUAUAGUAUGUGUUUGUCGAAAGUGUUGUCUGUUCUGGGGGUGUAUCACUGGUAAUAAAGAUGAUGACAUUGAAGUUAACAGAGGUAGAAAGAAAAUACCAAAGGGUAAAGUUUCGGCGAUUUCCAACAAGGAAAGCGUUAUGGCAAUGUCGCUUGUGAAUGUUUAGAACACAUAUUUGCUGUGUUGUUAUUCAAAAAAUAAAAUGUUGUUCUCGGUUGCUGCAUGCGUAAUAAAACAAAAUGUUUGAUGUUUUGU